rnacentral:rRNA from 1 species
UACGGAGGAUGCGAGCGUUAUCCGGAUUUAUUGGGUUUAAAGGGUGCGUAGGCGGAUCAAUAAGUCAGUGGUGAAAUUCUGCAGCUUAACUGUAGACUUGCCAUUGAUACUGUUGGUCUUGAGUAUGGUCAAGGUAGGCGGAAUGUGUAAUGUAGCGGUGAAAUGCUUAGAUAUUACACAGAACACCGAUUGCGAAGGCAGCUUGCUGGGCCAAUACUGACGCUGAUGCACGAAAGCGUGGGGAUCGAACAGGAUUAGAAACCCUAGUAGUCC